CCUACGGGGGGCUGCAGUGGGGAAUUUUGGACAAUGGGCGCAAGCCUGAUCCAGCCAUGCCGCGUGCAGGAUGAAGGCCUUCGGGUUGUAAACUGCUUUUGUACGGAACGAAAAGGUGCCUUCUAAUAAAGGGCGCUCAUGACGGUACCGUAAGAAUAAGCACCGGCUAACUACGUGCCAGCAGCCGCGGUAAUACGUAGGGUGCGAGCGUUCGUCGGGAUUGCUGGGGCGAAUUCGUGAGCCGGAGGUUAAAUCCCCGGGCUCAACCUGGGAACUGCCUUUGUGACUGCAAGGCUGGAGUGCGGCAGAGGGGGAUGGAAUUCCGCGUGUAGCAGUGAAAUGCGUAGAUAUGCGGAGGAACACCGAUGGCGAAGGCAAUCCCCUGGGCCUGCACUGACGCUCAUGCACGAAAGCGUGGGGAGCAAACAGGAUUAGAUACCCUAGUAGUC
rnacentral:rRNA from 1 species